rnacentral:rRNA from 1 species
GUGGGGAAUUUUGGACAAUGGGCGCAAGCCUGAUCCAGCAAUGCCGCGUGCAGGAAGAAGGCCUUCGGGUUGUAAACUGCUUUUGUACGGAACGAAACGGUCCGGGUUAAUACCCUGGGCUAAUGACGGUACCGUAAGAAUAAGCACCGGCUAACUACGUGCCAGCAGCCGCGGUAAUACGUAGGGUGCAAGCGUUAAUCGGAAUUACUGGGCGUAAAGCGUGCGCAGGCGGUUUUGUAAGACAGGCGUGAAAUCCCCGGGCUCAACCUGGGAAGUGCGUUUGUGACUGCGAGGCUGGAGGGCGGCAGAGGGGGAUGGAAUUCCGCGUGUAGCAGUGAAAUGCGUAGAUAUGCGGAGGAACACCGAUGGCGAAGGCAAUCCCCUGGGCCUGCACUGACGCUCAUGCACGAAAGCGUGGGGAGCAAACAGGAUUAGAAACCCCGGUAGUCC